rnacentral:ncRNA from 1 species
UGUAUUAACCGGGGGUCCGGUCAGGCAUAUGCUCUGAACGGUGAGAUGAAACCCUUUGAACCUGUUUACGGAUAAUGCCGCUGCAGGGAGUGUCAUUUUAAAGCGAC